GACCCGAACGUGUACUUCUCGGCCACGCUUCCCUGCUCCGGCGCGAAGGUGACCGCGUACUCCUGCGUCUGCUGCGCCGCGCUGAACUCCAGCGUCGGAGGCUCCACCGUGACGCGCACGCCGGCCGGGCUGGCGACGCUGGCCGUGUACGUGGCCCUGGCGUUGCUCCCGACGUUUCGUACGACGCGGCGCUGCGUGACCUCGUCGUCGCCGGAGCCGAACACCACCGAGAAGGCCGGGUAGUUGAGGUCGCCCACAGAGCCCGGGCGCGUCGAACAGUCGGUCACCGAGCCGUCACGCGUCAGGACGGCGAUCUGCCUGGCCGUGUAGCCGAGCGCGCAGAGGAAGGAGACGUAGUCGUCAGUGCCGGCGUCGUACACCAGGCCUGGGUUGAGGGCGCGGUUGGGGUCCACGUGGCCGGCCCCGCGCACGAACGGCGUGGACGCCCCGCCGGUGGACAUGUCCCUGAUGACGUCCCCGGCGCUGUCGACGUUGAACGCGGUGGUCAUCAGCGCGGACUUGAUCGCGGCGGGGCUCCAGCCCGGGCGCGCCUGCCGGAGCAUCGCGGCGAUGCCGCUCACGUGAGGGCACGACAUGGACGUGCCGGAUAUGAUGUUGAACUUCACUCGCCUCGUGUCGCUGUCGAGCUCCGAGGGCGAGUUCUCGCCGGUCCACGCGGCCAGGAUGUCCACCCCGGGGGCGGUCACGUCCGGCUUCAGGAUCUCCGGUGCGAGGAGGUUUGGGCCGCGGCUGGAAAAGGAUGCCAUUCUCGGGGAAGACGGCGUCCCGCCGACGACGGUGCCGAGAAACACGAUGGUCGCAACGGGGGACGCGCUGGUUCUGAUGUACCUCUUGAUCUUCUCGGCAACGGCGAACGUCACGGCCGUCGCUGGGUGGAUGUGUGGGGUGGUGAUGGGCUGCUCGCCGAACGCCUUUGCGCUGACGAGGAUCGCUCCAGCUCCUCCGGCAAGCUUUACGGCUUCACCUUUAGCAGCUCGACCGUUAACGCCAGGGUCGCACACCACGAUCUUGCCGGCGACCUUGCUGGCGAUCAGUUUGCCAGCUUCACAGACGCUUGAGCCCACGUCACCUCCGUAGACUAGCGGGAUCUUGCUUGGACCGAGCGGCGUGCCGGCAUAGAGGGAAGUGCCGGCGAAGGUGUCGCCACUGCCGAGAACGACGUUCGCUGAGAACCGGCGGUUGACGGUUGACGCGCCCACCGUCAGGAUCCAUGGCGCGACGUUGACGGCGGUGAACUCGCCGGGGCCGGAGUUGCCCGCGGAGGCAGAGACGACGAUGCCCCUGCGGACGGCGCUGAACGCUCCCACGGCCGUGCUGUCGCUGUAGAACGGGGGCGCCUGGCCGACGGCGCCGAGCGAGACGGAGAGGACGUUGACCCCGUCCUUGAUGGCCUCGUCGAACGCCAUGAGGAUGUCCGAGGACGUGCACCCCCUCGCCCAGCACGCCUUGUAGGCAGCGAUGCGGGCGCGCGGAGCCAUGCCGAUGGCUGUGCCUUUGGCGUAGUCGAAGAAGGCGGCGUUCGGCACGGCGGAGCCCGCUGCCGUGGACGAGGUGUGCGUGCCGUGGCCGUUGGUAUCGAGCGGGGACCUGGAGUCCGUCUCGUCCACCGCGCCCCCGCCGUGCGCGGCCUCGUACCCCAGGCCAAAGAACUUGGCGCCGACGAGCUUGUUGUUGCAGUACGCGGAGGCGUUGAACGCCGGCGUCGAGACGCAGCGGCCGCGGAAUGUGCUGGGCGGCGGCGGCAGCGACGGGUCCGCGGCGAAGGACGCGCGGUCCUUGGGGUACACGCCGGUGUCGAUGACGCCGACCACGACGUCCGUGGCGCCGCCGGACGCCUGGAGCAGCCCCGACGAGUCCGAGAGGCGCAGGAACGACGGCGUCAGCGUGGUGUGCAGCUGCUGCGUCGCGUCGGGCACGACCGCGAGCACGGCGGAGCGCCGCGAGGCGAGGUGCGCGGCCUGGGCCCCCGUCAGCCGCGCCGCGAACCCCGUCGCGGCGUGCGCGUACGAGUAGAGCAGCCUCGGCGCCGGGCGCGCCACGCGCGCGGGGAGGUGCUCGCGCAGGAAGGAGCGGUACGCACCGGAGAGCGCGCGGGGGCGGGUCGCCCGCGGCGCGUGCGCCGGCGCGACAUGCACAAUGUACGUGGACACAGGCUCCUCCGCUUCGGACUCCAUGGGCGCAUAUAGCGAGCCUUGCCAUCGGUGGCGUCUGGGUUUCACGUGCACGUGCACGUGCAGUGGGAGAGAUGGAUGUGUUGUGGGAG
rnacentral:misc_RNA from 1 species